AACUCUGAAGCUACAUGAAGUUUGGAGGUGUGUAGUGAUGAACUCUGCUGAAGCUACAUGAAGUUUGGAGGUGUGGAGUGAUGAACUCUGAAGCUACAUGAAGUUUGGAGGUGUGUAGUGAUGAACUCUGCUGAAGCUACAUGAAGUUUGGAGGUGUGUAGUGAUGAACUCUGAAGCUACAUGAAGUUUGGAGGUGUGUAGUGAUGAACUCUGAAGCUACAUGAAGUUUGGAGGUGUGUAGUGAUGAACUCUGAAGCUACAUGAAGUUUGGAGGUGUGUAGUGAUGAACUCUGAUGCUACAUGUAGUUUGGAGGUGUGUAGUGAUGAUGAACUCUGAAGCUACAUGAAGUUUGGAGGUGUGUAGUGAUGAACUCUGAAGCUACAUGAAGUUUGGAGGUGUGUAGUGAUGAACUCUGAUGCUACAUGUAGUUUGGAGGUGUGUAGUGAUGAUGAACUCUGAAGCUACAUGAAGUUUGGAGGUGUGUAGUGAUGAACUCUGAAGCUACAUGAAGUUUGGAGGUGUGUAGUGAUGAACUCUGAAGCUACAUGAAGUUUGGAGGUGUGUAGUGAUGAACUCUGAAGCUACAUGAAGUUUGGAGGUGUGUAGUGAUGAACUCUGAAGCUACAUGAAGUUUGGAGUUGUGUAGUGAUGAACUCUGAAGCUACAUGAAGUUUGGAGGUGUGUAGUGAUGAACUCUGCUGAAGCUACAUGAAGUUUGGAGGUGUGUAGUGAUGAACUCUGCUGAAGCUACAUGAAGUUUGGAGGUGUAUAGUGAUGUAGUGACUCUGCAAAAAAGUUGGUGAACUCCGCUGACCCCACUCUGUUAUUUUACACUGACAGAGCACAGAGUCGCUCUUCCACUGUGUUAUAAUAUCACUGACAGUUGGCUGUGGAAUAUUUAGUAGUAAGUAGUGUAAUUUUACGACUGGACUUUGCUGGAGUUUACUGAGCUCCUGAGAGUCUGAGACCCAUUAUUUCACUAAUGUUUGUAGAAGCAGUCUGCAUCACUGCAUGCUGCAU